UGGGCCUAUAGCUCAGCUGGUUAGAGCGCACGCCUGAUAAGCGUGAGGUCGGUGGUUCGAGUCCACUUAGGCCCACCAU
rnacentral:tRNA from 2 species